rnacentral:lncRNA from 1 species
AAUAUCCCGCUAUCGUAAGGUGAGUGAACUUGCAUUUCAAAAUGUUUUGGGGAAAUGUUUACGUGUUUCAAUGAAUCAUUUGGAAAUUUCAUCGAUUUUUGCUUUAAAAUUGCUUGGGAACAAGCCCUUGAUAAAAUGUUUGAUGUUGUGAAAUGUGAAAUGUGUAAAAGGAUCAAUCCAUAUGUUUUUGUAUAAUGUUGAUAUAUAUAUAUACUAUGUCAUAAAUGGUACCAUUGUGUGAUAACUGUAACCGUGCAUGUGCAGAGUGGGCAGUGCACAUGCCGGGUGAAUGACAAUGUUGUGAUAAUUGUAACCGUGCAUGUGCAGAGUGGGCAAUGCAUAUGCCGGUUGAAUGAUAAUGUCGUGAUAAUUAUAACCAUGCAUGUGCAAAGUGGGCAGUGCACAUGCUGGUAAUGAUGCACAUGAGUUAGGUGAGAUGGGGUGUCCGACUAUGUGCACGAUGUGGGGGGAUGCAUAUGAGCCGAGUGAGGUGAUGGUGGUGUAUGUGCUUAUAUAUAUAUAUAUAUUUACUAUAUUGAGAUGUUUGGAUUUAAUAUGUGAUUGCAUUGACUGUUGAAAACUUGAGUAUUGUUAAUGUGUUCAAUUUAAUGUGCAAUGUGGAAUGAGUGGAAUUUUCCCGAUGGCAGUGAAAGCCCUUGGAUUUUAUCUGGCCAGAAUUUCGUUGCAGCGAUAAUGCCUUUUCGCUGCUGUGAGAGUCAAUCUAUUAUGCUUGACUUGAUUGAAUUCUACUAAAGUUUUCACUUCUCAACUUCUUUGUUGUUCAUGAGUCUUUCGUAAUCAAGUGACUAAACGACCAAGGGUUUGAAUGAGGGGUUUUUAAAUAGAAAUAAACUAAAUUGCAUUGUUUUGAACUUAAGUGCAUCAUGAUUUCUAAACCUUCCUUAAAGUUGCUUGUUCCCUUCCUAUGUUCACUCACUGAGUUUAUACUCACAUUUUUAAAAUUCAUGUUUUAGGUUCCCUGAGUUAAAGGUGAUUGGAUCCUAGGACGAGGUGCUCCUCCCUAUACAUUGCUUGGUAGGUUUAAUGUGACAUUAAGUGUUAUCAAUCGUGCCCAGAGUCACUUCCCUGACAGUCAAGGUCUAAUUAUGUGUAUAUGAAUAUUUAAUGUGAACAUUAAGAAUCAUUGUUAAUCUAUUUAUGAAUAUAUUGGUGGAUGAUGCCAUUAUGAAUGUAUGAUUGGGUUUUAUGAAUCAUUUUCAAAUAAACGAUAUUUGAACAUUUCGAGCUUUGGAUUCUAAAGGAAUAGGGAUUAAUGUAUAAGAUCAAUUAAGUAGGCUUGCUUGGGCUUAGUGGGCUGAGCCCAUUGGGCCCUUGCGUCGGUCAUGGCCUAGAAAUUGGGCUAUGACAAAAAGCCCUAAAGUGAGUAAUAAGUUAAGAUUGAUUUUUUUAAGAUGUUGAUAAUGGCUAACAAUGGGAUUUGUGAGUGUUUUAUUGUUGAGGUUGUUUAUUUAUUUUUAGGGUGACUAGAGUAGUGAUAUAAAUAGCCACUAAAUGGUGAUUGAAAGCUAGUUAGGAUUAACUAGCUGAACUUGAGUUAAGAAAUAGCUUUUAGAAUUGUAUUUAUGCAAAUUGGGUUGGUUGUGAUGUUGGUGUGUAAUAGGUUCCAACAAGACCUCACAUCUUCAUUUGGAGCAAUAGUCGAAGUUAGAGUCGAGUAAAGGUUCAACAAAUAUCGGUGAGUGAACUGGCAUUUCAAAAUUGCUUUGGGAAAUAUAAAUGUAUUUGGAUGAAACAUUUGAAUGAUUUUAUCCAAACUUUCUUUAAAAAUGUGUACCGGGGAACAAGCCCUUGAUAAAAUGUUUUGAUGUUGUAAAAAUGUGAAAUGUGUAAAAGGAUGAAUCCAUGUGCUCCUAUAUUAUGUUGGUAUAUUUAUAUAUAUGAAUAUAUGUUGUGCAUUGAUGAAUAAUGUUGUGUGAUGAUGUUGAAGUGUGCGAAUAGGGAGUGCACAUGUGAUGAUGUUGAAGUGUGCGAGUAGGGAGUGCAAACAUGAUGAUGUUGAAUUAUGCGAGAAGGGAGUGCACACAUGAUGAUGUGAAGUGUGUGAGUGGGGAGUACACACAUGAUGAUGAUAUUGUAUUGAGCUGAGUGUGGCGAGAUGGUAUGCAUGAUGAUAUAUGUAUAUACAAAUAUAUAUAUAUAUAUAUAUAUAUGUUAUAGAAAGUUUAUGAAAAUAAUUGUGAUUGUGUUGUGUGUUGGCAUUGUUAAUUGCUCCCAAAUUGCUUUUCAUUUCAACAAGAAAAUGGCUUUUGAUGCAACAAGAUCCAUUUCAAUUAGAAUGCUCUAUUUCUCGUUGCAGCGAGAUUCAUUUUCGCUGCAGCGAGAAACUCUCAGGUUUUGGGGGUGACACUGGCCUGGUUCUCGCUGCAACGGGCAACUCUCAAGUUCUAAUGCAGUACUUUCAAUUUGACAAAGAUCUUGACCACGUUAUGUUCAAAGCUGGGCAAUCUAGUAAACAUCAAAGUUGUAGUCCAGCCUCUUAACUUUCUAAUGGUGCAAAAAUCAUGUCAAUUGGACUUCUGUAGUGGGAGAUAUGCUUGAAAAAUCAAAACAUAUGCAAACUAAGACUGUUUCUCACUGUAGCGAGAAACUUGCUGUCAUGCUUGCUAUCUUGCUUGAUUUUGACAUAUUUUUCACCCCUUUAACUUCAUGGAUUGAUCAUGGGUUUUUGCAACACUAUGAGGUUAUUAAUCAAAGUUUGAAAUGAGGGUUUUUUUUGUAAGAAAUUAAAUCAAUUGCAUUGUUUUUGAAACAAGUGCAUCAUGAUUUUCAAGUUCUUCUUAUCGAUUGCUUGUUCCCUUUUUAUGUUCACUCACUGAGUUUUAUACUCACAUUUUUAAACUUCAUGUUUUCAAAUUCGGAGGCAAUUGGGACCUAAAUUGGGUGUCCACAUAUGCUCGUCUUCUUGGUAGGCACUAUGGCAUCUUAAUAGCGGUACCUUCACUCAAAGUCACUCCACUGACGGUUGAGAGUCUUGUGUCUGUGUACACGUAUAUGUAAUGUGAACUACUAGGAGUCAUGUUAUAAAUGAAGUAUGUAUAUGUUGGAUUGAUGAUGAUGCCUUUAUGAGAUGACAAUGAAUGACAGUACUUUAAGAUAAUGAAAAUAUAAAUAUUCGGUUGCUAUAAAAUAUUACUAAAACAUUCAUCGUUGAGAAUUACAACACAUGGUUUUAAAGAUGAUGGAUGGAAUGAGGAAUAGGAUCUCAUAAAGAGGCUUGCUUGGGCCUAGUGGGCAUAGCCCAUUGAGCCCAUGAGCCGGUCAUGUCUUGAAAUUUGGACUGUGACAAAGGUGGUAUCAGAGCCCUAGGUUUAGUUGAGUCAUAGGGAUUCUUGUGUCAGUCAGCGAAGUUAUCGGAGUUAAUGUAAAGUCUUGUUUAUGGGUUGUGACUGCAGCAUAAGUCAUAGACAAGAGGCUAUAUGAAUUCCUAUUCCUAGUAACCUACCCUCUUGUUAACAUUAUGCAAAGGUCAUAAGUGGUGCCAUUGUCCGGGUUUGAAAUGCCACCCGAGACACGAGCUGUUGUUGGAAAGAUUUUAAGCAAAUGCUCAUAAUGAAAGGUUAAUGUAAUAACAAUCUCUCCGAUUAAAGGUGGAGGAAAUUGGAGUUGGACUAAUAGGUCCGUAAUGACUUAUUUAUUCAGUGGAGUUAUAAUUUAAGCCCAUAAUUGUCAAUGGGAAGAAAUUGAAUGACAUUGGAUCAUUAUUGAAGUCAAUAUAAAGGAACACGUAUGAUAAUGGUAAUAAGGGGCGCACUUUGACUGGAAUGAAUAAUGAGGGUUGUAAUUUACUUGUAGUUUAUAGAUCUAAGUAUUGAGGAAGGUGUAAACUGAUGUUUAUGUGCACGAAGGUAAGUGCACUAUGUUAAAUGAGCUUGUCAUGCCCCUAUAGAAAUGAUGUGGGCUUUUGAAAUAUUUUGUAACGUAUAAGUGUUGAUUAUGUGCAUAGCAGCUUAGAUGGAACUGGUUUCGAUUUCAAUUAAGUAAUGGCAAGAUCUCGAUGUUCGAUUUGAACUAUUAUGGUUUAUAGUUAUAAGUACAUGAAUUAGCUUAAAGGUGAAAUUCAAUGACUAUUAUAAUUGAUGUAUGGUCAUCAAGUGAAAGGUUGAUAAACAAAUUUUCUCUAAGGAGGAGCAUGAACUUUGUUAUGCUAUACGUGAGGUCAAAGGAUUAAAGGACUAGUUGUGGAUUUGAUAGCUUGAAGUUAAGUGACUAAAAGAUGUCAAAUCUAGUCUAAAUGCCAUAUGAAGUUCUAUAUUUGAGUUUGAUGUACGAAUUGCUUUAACGAUCAAUUUAAAAGUCUAUUGGGUUCAGUAUGCAAUCUAUGAUAAAAAUGAUCAGUUUUGAAUGUGAUCUCCAUAGAGGUAAAGGAUUUAGAAAAUAUCAAGUUUUGGAUUAGUUCUAAGAGGGAGUUUCUACAUCCUAAGUAUAAGAAAUUUUGAUUUUAUACCGUAAGGGCGAAAUGCAAUAGUUAAGUAAAUCAUUCACUUUAUAAAUGUAAUUAGUUAAGGAUUGGUGAGUAAAGUUAAGACCUUAACACUAAGUGGUGUACAACUUGAUGUUUAGGUAUUUAAGAGUUAUUUGGAAACAAAUGUCUAAUCAAGUUGCAUUGAAAUGUUAUGGUAAAGGUAUAUGAUUAUUAGUAGUGGAAUAUGCCUAAAGGAUGAUCCUGGCAUACCAUAAAAGGUGAAAUGUGGAGUAGACAUGUCAAAAUUGAGGAAAGUAAGAAAGGGGUUCUUACGCAUGGUAAUGGAUGUUGACAUUUAAAUGGAUGUGCAUAUGUAUAUGUGGAGUUAUUCAUGUCAUUGGUGGAAACAAAGAAUUGUUCUUAGCGAUUUAAGAUUUGAACACAAUAUGCUUGAUGGGUUGCAUAAGUGGUAUUAUAAGAUACUAAAUUAACAUAAUAUACGCUAUUGGAAAUAAUUAUGAAAAUGGGGGAAGCAUAAAUUCUAGAAUUUUGAAGUAAUGAUGUGAGCAUAAGUAGAAUGAUCAAGAUAAAAAAAAUUCAUGAUGAUACUAAGUUGAAGUGGUUAAACUAGUUGAGUUAUAAGAUAAGAGAGACAACUAGUUGUGAAUACUAAGGAAUUGUGGAACACUAGAAGUAGUGAAUAAUUAUGUGUGCGGUGUUAUAUGUACAUGGUGAAUUCAUUAUACAAUAUGGAAAGAUGUCCUAAUGUGGGAUUUAUUGAUUGGUGACAAGUGCUAAGGGAUGAGAUGAAUUUGAAAAUAUUGGCUUGGCCUAUUAUAUGUGAUAAACCUAUGGGAAUAUAAAUGGCUAUGGAAAUUGUGACGUAACCUUGAAGGAAAACCAAACGGUUGAGGAUGAUCAAUGUAGUAACCUUAAAUGUAGAUGAAUAACGUUGAUUAAGUAAACUCUAAUAGCCACCGCACCGCAGUGCUAGGAGCACCUCAUGUCUAGGACGUAUGAAUAAAAUGUGAAAGGCAUGAAGCUAAACUUACGAGCUGAAUUAUGGUCAUUUGGACUUGAUGUUAAGCUUCAUUAACUGGAAUUUUAAGGUUUUGGAAAAGUAUUUAUAUGAAUGAAUUGGAAAGUUUCUUUAUUGCCUUAUAUAUUGACAUGUAGGUAAAUGAGACAAGAGAUUAAGCCUUGUUAAAGGCUAAGGAAAGAGUGAAUGAAAAGUAAUGUAAAUAAUGGGAGGAAUAUGGAUGUUGCUAUGAUGAACAUAAGAAGCUUAAGAAUAAUCAAUGCAAGUAUACUAAGAUAGUUGUGUGGUCCAAAUUAAGGACAAGGACGCCUUGGGAGAUUUGAAAAUAAUGUCCGUUGUAACCGAUGAAAUGGAAUGUCAUUGGGCAUACAUUGGAUUGUUAAAGUUAUGAGUGGUUUUGAAGGUAAGCUUUUGAUUGUUUAAGUCCUCAACUGAAUUCCACCAAAGAAUGUGUUUAAGUGUUUCAGAAGUGUAUUGAAAAGCAUAAGAGAAUAUAUUAGUUAACUUGCCAUAAAAGAUCGAAAUGGUAUGGCGAUGAGAGACUCGUGAGCAACCAAACAAUGUAUAGGUAAAUGUGCAAGGGAGCUAUGAUUGGUAGAUAAGAGUAAACCUUUAAUGAUGAGAUAGUGUUCACUACUUUAGGUAGUGAACCAUAAGUUAUGGGCUUGUAUCCACUUUGUGAACACUUUGGUGAGAUAAUUUGAAGGGGUUCUCACAAUGUGAAAACAUUAAAGUUCAAGGAGCUAAUAGUUAUAUAGUGACGUUGGUGUUCGUGACUGAUAUGUCAUGUAGUACAAAGGUACGCUACAAGUCUAAAAAUGAUUGGAAAUGUUGGUUUGAGGUAAUGAUUAUCUUGCCAUUAUGUAGGCCUAAUAAUGUUACAGUCUCGAUAUGCUUGUGGAGGCAGAGUAUACAAUGGUAAAAAAAAAGUGUUUCCCUCACAUGUGUUCUUUCAUUUUGAGUAAUUAUCAAAGUAGAGUACCUAAUAAAGGUAAGCAAGGAUUGAACUAUGCUUUAAAUGCUUAGUGAAUAAUGGCGAUAUGCUCUAGCUAAUCGAUAUUACCCUUGGUGAGGAAAUAGCAGUACACAACGGGAUUCGUAGAGAUUUACUUGGGAAAGAGAUGAUCAUUUGAUAUUUCAAGUAAGCAUGUACAAGUAAAGAUUUUGGUAAUAAGCCAUGAUUUAGAGUUCAGAUGCAAGAAUAUGAAUUGGGACUAAGUAAUGUCGAGAUGACAUAAGAAUAUAACAUAUAUGUUGGAAGUAUGAAAGACAAUUAAGAAGUAAAGAAGACUUUUAAGGAUUUUGGUAUAGCAUAAAUGUAAUGAUCAAGUAAAGAUAAAUUUGAAUGAUCAACAAAAAAGUAAGGCAUACAUGGAUACUGGAGAGUAACUUGAUGAAAUGAUAAUUAGUGAUUGUGAUAUGUUUAUGACAAUGUGGCGCAAGGAUGAGCGAUAAGAUGAAGCUUACACAUUUGAUUAGAAAUGAUAUGAAAAGAGUAUAAGCAUGUAAAUUAUGUGAAGUUAUGCAUAGGCACAAUGAGAAUCUGGGUGGAUUACAUAAGAACCAAUUUAUGGUAGGAUGUAAAGUAAAUGGUGAUUUAAACAUUCGAAGGGGUAAUCUGGUGUUGAUUAUAUCCUAAUAUUCAUGGAUUAAACUUGACCUAUGGGAAUGAAAUGGAAAAGUAAAAAGGGAAACAUGAGCUAUGAGAAUAUGAUGAUGAACCUAGGUUAUGGAUUAGAAUGAAUAGAGGAAAUUUACUUCAAAGUAAUUGACGAGGGUUCCUACAUGUAGUGAUGGAUGAUGAUUCUUAAAUGUGUAUAUACAUACAUAUAUAUAUGAAGAUCAUUAUGUGAUUAAUUAAAGGGAAGAAUUAUUUAUAGUGAUUUGAGUUUUGAUUUUGAUAUGUUUAAUAAGUUGUAUAGAUGACAUGAUGAUGAGAGUUACCAUUAGAAAUUGAGCUAUGUGAAUAAAGAAGAAUUCAAGAACAAAAGAGAAAGAAAGGAUAUUAAGGAAUUGGAAUCUAUGUCGUGGUUGAGCCAUACCAAUGGAUUAAUAUGAUUAAGAUGUAAAGAUUAAGGAAGUUUUAUAUCAUAGUUAAAUUAGACUUCCACGAAGCACUAGUGCCACGAAUGGAUAAUAAAUGAUGAUAGUACCUUAAUGUGAGUAAUUGGAGGAAUUGAUUCAGAAGAUGAAACUUAACUUUGUUAAUAAUGAUUCAACAUAUGAGGAGCAACUAGUUGCUAUUCUUGAUAGACAAGUCAAAAGCUCCACUCAAAGGAUGUAGCCUCAGUGAAACCAAUAUAGCGAAACCACACCAGUGAAGAGGUAAUGGGGAGGCUAAAGAAGAGUUACGGAUAAAGUAUCCACACCUCUUCAAUGCAUAUAGAUGCACUAUCUUAUAGUUUGAUUCAAAUUUGGGGAUCGAAUUUCUUUUAGUGGGGGAGAAUGUGAGACCUCGACCUUCACAGACAUGUAGCGAAGGUAGACCCUAUGAUGUGGAACAGGGGUAGUUUGGUCAUUUUUUUGGUGAGCUCCUAGAAGUGGGUUUUCUAAUAUUAUUAAGGCCUAAGUAGGCCUAAGACAUAAAUGAAUGAUGAAAAUAAGGAUAAAAUGAUGAAGGAAAUAGAAAUAAUGAUGAUUUCCAAAGUAUGGUCAAAAUGGUCAUUUUUCAUCUCAGGUUGAAAGUUUUAAGUUUUUGUGAACUCGAGAAUUUUUUAUAGACUAUUAUGGACUUUAUCUCAUUGUCAAAAGAGUAAAAAGAUUGCAUAAAGGAUUGGAGGAAGACAAAGCCAACUUGUUAAGGGCAUUUUCGUAAUUUAAGUGAAGUUUGGAUAAGCUUAGGCUAUAAAUAUCUCAUUUCUCCAGUAGCUUCCUCAUUUUUUCAGCAGCUUCUUCUUCCUUUUCUCUUCCUCAUAUCACGUUUCUUCAUCUUCCAUGGAAGCCUCCCUUAAAGCUUUCAUAACUCUCUCUCUCUCUCUAGCUUCAAUUUUCAUGCUUUUAAGCACUUUUUCAUAGAACCUUUUGUGCUCUUUCACUCUCUCACCUUAAAACCCUCAAAAGUCUUUCCUCAACACCUUCUCUCAUUAGUUGGAUGUUCUAGAGAAAGAGAGAGAGAGAGAGAUUCUCUACAACAAUUCGAAAGUUCUUGAAAAGGAUUUCAACUACAAAAGCCCCAAGGUGAGUAAUAAGUUAAGAUUAUUUUUUUAAGAUGUUGAUAAUGGCUAACAAUGGGAUUUGUAAGUGUUUUAUUGUUGAGGUUGUUUAUUCAUUUUUAGGGUGACUAGAGUAGUGAAAUAAAUAGCCACUUAAUGGUGAUUGAAAGCUAGUUAGAAUUAACUAGCUGAACUUGUGUUAAGAAAUAGCUUUUAGAAUUGUAUUUAUGCAAAUUGGGUUGGUUGUGAUGUUGGUGUGUAAUAGGUUCCAACAAGACCUCACAUAUUCAUUUGGAGCAAUAGUCAAAGUUAGAGUCGAGUAAAGGUUCAACAAAUACCGGUGAGUGAACUUGCAUUUCAAAAUUUCUUUGGGAAAUGUAAAUGUAUUUGGAUGAGACAUUUGAAUGAUUUUAUCCAACCCUUCUUUAAAAAAGUGUGCUGGGGAACAAACCCUUGAUAAAAUGUUUUGAUGUUGUGAAAAUGUGAAAUGUGUAAAGGGAUGAAUCCAUGUGCUCCUAUAUUAUGUUGGUAUGUAUAUCUAUGAAUAUAUGUUGUGCAUUGAUGAAUAAUGUUGUGUGAUGAUGUUGAAGUGUGCGAGUAAGGAGUGCACACAUGAUGAUGUUGAAGUGUGCGGGUAGAGAGUGCACACAUGAUGAUGUGAAGAGUGCAAGUAGGGAGUGCACACAUGAUGAUGUUAGAGUGUGUGAGUAGAUAGUUCACACAUGAUGAUGUUGAAGUGUGCGAGUAAGGAGUUUACACAUGAUGAUGAUAUUGCAUUGAGUUGAGUGUGGCAAGAUGGUAUGCAUGAUGAUGUAUGUAUAUACAAAUAUAUAUAUAUAUAUAUAUAUAUAUAUGUUAUAGAAAGUUUAUGAAAAUAAUUGUGAUUGUGUUGUGUGUUGGCAUUGUUAAUUGCUCUCAAAUUUGCUGAAGUUUUUUGCUGCAGCGAGAAACUCUCGGGUUCUGGUACAGUAAUUUCACUUUGACGAAGAAUUUGACCACGUUUCAGUUAGAAAUAGGCAAUCUAAUAAAAGAUGUAGCCCAACCUCUUAGCUUUGUAAUGGUCUAAAAAUCAUGUCAAUUGGACUUCUGUAGUGGGAGAUUUGUUUGAAAAACUGAAACAUAUGCAAACUGAGAUUGUUUCUUGCUGUAGCGAGAAACUUGCUAUCAUGUUUGCUACUUUGCUUGAUUUUGACAUAUUUUUCACCCCUGGAACUUCAUGGAUUGAUCAUGGGUUUUUGCAACACUAUGAGGUUAUUAAUCAAAGUUUGAAAUGAGGGUUUUUUUAUAAGAAAUUAAAUCAAUUGCAUUGUUUUUGAAACAAGUGCAUCAUGAUUUCCAAGUUCUCCUUAUCGAUUGCUUGUUCCCUUCUUAUGUUCACUCACUGAGUUUUAUACUCACGUUUUUAAACUUCAUGUUUUCAGAUUCGAAGGCAAUUGGGACCUAGAUUGGGUGUCCACAUAUGCUCGUCUUCUUGGUAGGCACUAUGGCAUCUCAGUAGCGGUACCUUCACUUAAAGUCACUCCGUUGACGGUUCAGAGUCUUGUGUUUGUGUACACGUAUAUGUAAUGUGAACUACUAGGAGUCAUGUUAUAAAUGAAGUAUGUAUAUGUUGGAUUGAUGAUGAUGCCCUUAUGAGACGGUAAUUAAUGAUAGUACUUUGAGAUAAUGAAAAUAUGAAUAUUCGGUUG